rnacentral:tRNA from 2 species
GCGCCCGUAGCUCAGCUGGAUAGAGCGCUUGCCUCCGGAGCAAGAGGUCAGAGGUUCGAAUCCUCUCGGGCGUA